rnacentral:rRNA from 1 species
UAGGGAAUCUUCGGCAAUGGGGGCAACCCUGACCANAGCAACGCCGCGUGAGUGAAGAAGGUUUUCGGAUCGUAAAGCUCUGUUGUAAGAGAAGAACGAGUGUGAGAGUGGAAAGUUCACACUGUGACGGUAAGUUACCAGAAAGGGACGGCUAACUACGUGCCAGCAGCCGCGGUAAUACGUAGGUCCCGAGCGUUAUCCGGAUUUAUUGGGCGUAAAGCGAGCGCAGGCGGUUAGAUAAGUCUGAAGUUAAAGGCUGUGGCUUAACCAUAGUACGCUUUGGAAACUGUUUAACUUGAGUGCAGAAGGGGAGAGUGGAAUUCCAUGUGUAGCGGUGAAAUGCGUAGAUAUAUGGAGGAACACCGGUGGCGAAAGCGGCUCUCUGGUCUGUAACUGACGCUGAGGCUCGAAAGCGUGGGGAGCAAACAGGAUUAGAUACCCUGGUAGUCCACGCCGUAAACGAUGAGUGCUAGGUGUUGGGUCCUUUCCGGGACUCAGUGCCGCAGCUAACGCAUUAAGCACUCCGCCUGGGGAGUACGACCGCAAGGUUG